rnacentral:tRNA from 1 species
AGGGCAUUAGCUCAAUUGGUAGAGCAUCGGUCUCCAAAACCGAAGGUUGUGGGUUCAAGUCCCUCAUGCCCUG